AUUGAACGCUGGCGGCAGGCCUAACACAUGCAAGUCGAGCGGAUGAAGGGAGCUUGCUCCUGGAUUCAGCGGCGGACGGGUGUGUAAUGCCUAGGAAUCUGCCUGGUAGUGGGGUAUAACGUCCGGAAACGGGCGCUUAUACCGCAUACGUCCUGAGGGAGAAGGUGGGGGAUCUUCGGACCUCACGCUAUCAGAUGUGCCUAGGUCGGAUUAGCUAGUUGGUGGGGUAAAGGCCUACCAAGGCGACGAUCCGUAACUGGUCUGAGAGGAUGAUCAGUCACACUGGAAGUGAGAAACGGUCCAGACUCCUACGGGAGGCAGCAGUGGGGAAUAUUGGACAAUGGGCGAAAGCCUGAUCCAGCAAUGCCGCGUGGGGGAAGAAGGUCUUCGGAUUGUAAAGCACUUUAAGUUGGGAGGAAGGGCAGUAAGUUAAUACCUGGCGGUUUUGACGUUACCAAAAGAAUAAGCACCGGCUAACUUCGUG
rnacentral:rRNA from 1 species